GUACACUCCUACGGGAGGCAGCAGUGGGGAAUAUUGGACAAUGGGCGCAAGCCUGAUCCAGCCAUGCCGCGUGAGUGAUGAAGGCCCUAGGGUUGUAAAGCUCUUUCACCGGUGAAGAUAAUGACGGUAACCGGAGAAGAAGCCCCGGCUAACUUCGUGCCAGCAGCCGCGGUAAUACGAAGGGGGCUAGCGUUGUUCGGAUUUACUGGGCGUAAAGCGCACGUAGGCGGACUAUUAAGUCAGGGGUGAAAUCCCGGGGCUCAACCCCGGAACUGCCUUUGAUACUGGUAGUCUUGAGUUCGAGAGAGGUGAGUGGAAUUCCGAGUGUAGAGGUGAAAUUCGUAGAUAUUCGGAGGAACACCAGUGGCGAAGGCGGCUCACUGGCUCGAUACUGACGCUGAGGUGCGAAAGCGUGGGGAGCAAACAGGAUUAGAUACCCGUGUAGUCCC
rnacentral:rRNA from 1 species